UACGGAGGAUCCAAGCGUUAUCCGGAAUCAUUGGGUUUAAAGGGUCCGUAGGCGGUUUAAUAAGUCAGUGGUGAAAGCCCAUCGCUCAACGGUGGAACGGCCAUUGAUACUGUUUAAACUUGAAUUAUUUAGGAAGUAACUAGAAUAUGUAGUGUAGCGGUGAAAAUGCUUUAGAGAUUACAUGGAAUACCAAUUGCGAAGGCAGGUUUACUACUAAUGGGAUUGACGUGAUGGACGAAAAGCGUGGGGAUCAAACAGG
rnacentral:rRNA from 1 species